rnacentral:lncRNA from 1 species
AAAUUAAAAAUUUUAUCUAAAUAUUAUCAAUUCAAAAGUUUUAAAUAUCAUCAUCUAAAUAAGUUAUCCAUGACUCUUGGUAUGGUCCAUCCCAGGGCUAAAUUACUCUCCAUUUGUGGACCAGUGAAAUUGAAGAGGAGGCAGGACUCCAUUCUGGACCAUAUUGAAGAUUGGCUGAAACAGAGAAGAGGCACCAAAAGCACUUCUCCAUAAGACAUGCCCACCAGUGCCAUGUCAGUUUACCACUGCCAUGGCAACACCCAGAAGUUAUUGUCCCUUGCUAUGGCAAUGACCUGGAAGUUACAACCUAUUUUCUAGAAAUUUCUGAAUAGCCCAUCCCUUAAUUUGCAUGUAAUAAAAAUUGGGCAUAAAUAUGACUGCAGGACUUCUGAUCUGCUACUCUUCAUGCUGCCUGUGGGGCAGCUCUGCUCUGCAGGAGCAGUCAUGGAGCUGUAACACUGCCACUUCAAUAAAGCUGUUUUCUUCUAUUACUAGCUCACUCUUGAAUUAUUUCCUAAGCAAAGCCAAGAAGCUUCCUGGGCUAAGCCUGCUCUGCAUCAAGUAGUGCCCAAUGUGGAGCUGAGGAGAGAAGACGAUGGUGUGACAGAUGGUGAGAGAAUUGGCAGUUGGCAGUCGGCAAGGCAAAGGCAAAGGCAGCAGAGCUGAGUGAAUGGGAAAGUGGCUGUAGUGCCACUGCCUUGUAGGAGACCCACUGCUCUGACCCACAGGCAGAUGGGUUACCGGUUUGGUGGCAGCCUCUCCCACCACGACAGCCGAGUCCACCCAAACUGGGGAACCUGAAGAGAACUUUACCAGCGUCCCACAUGGAUGAUCAGUUGCUGUCAUUUUGGCUCCUGUGGAGGGGGCCAUUUGAUUGAAGCACUCAAGAAAUAUACUAAUACAGACCAAGACUUCCUGGAAGGAUGAGCUCUCCUGGGUGUGCAUUUUAUUACUCAAUCUGCCUACGACAUUUGGAGGAAGCUACAAAAGGUAGCAAUGGGACCCCAAACCCCCCUGAGCCAAAUCUCAGACAGUGCCCUGGGGACAGGGCAGAGGAAAAGGUGAAAAUCAAAAGAAUUGGCCAAAAAGCACAAUUCUUAGUGGCUGCUUUAGGCUCCCUGCUGCCUUGGGGUUGCCUACCCUGAGGAAAUGUGGUGAGAUCAGCAUCUGGGAUGCUCAGACAAGAGCCCUCAAAUUGCUGGCUUCUAGGCCAAACUCAGUGUACUUCUAUAAGGUAGGUAGAGGGGCACUGGAGGAAGGACUGCUCCAGGUUUAAAAGGGAGUCUAAGCAGGAGGCUUAGGCACGAGAAUUGCUUGAACCCAGGAUGUGAAGUUUGCAGUGAGCCAAGAUUGCACCACCACAAUCCAGCCUGGGUGACAAAAAAAAAAAAGUCUAAGCCAUCCAGACCCAUAAUACCCAAGAAAGCAGAGGAUCCAUGGAGACCAACGUCCUCCACAGAUACUACUGGACACCUUACCAUCUCCACAGAGGAGUCUCAGGUAAGUUUUUAUAUGGCAGGCAAAAAUAUUGAGUUCUUAUUCGACAUGAGAGCAGCCUACUCAGUUUUUACCCAUUUCUAAGGCCUGCAGUCUUUCCACUCUUGUAUGGUAACAGGG